rnacentral:rRNA from 1 species
GACAGAGGGUGCAACCGUUGUUCGGAAUUACUGGGCGUAAAGCGCGUGUAGGCGGCCAUGCAAGUCGGAUGUGAAAGCCCUCGGCUCAACCGGGGAAGUGCACUCGAAACUGCAAGGCUAGAGUCUCGGAGAGGAUCGUGGAAUUCUCGGUGUAGAGGUGAAAUUCGUAGAUAUCGAGAGGAACACCGGUGGCGAAGGCGGCGAUCUGGACGAUGACUGACGCUGAGACGCGAAAGCGUGGGGAGCAAACAGG